rnacentral:rRNA from 1 species
AUUGAACGCUGGCGGCAUGCUUUACACAUGCAAGUCGAACGGCAGCACGGGAGCAAUCCUGGUGGCGAGUGGCGAACGGGUGAGUAAUAUAUCGGAACGUGCCCAGUAGUGGGGGAUAACUGCUCGAAAGAGCAGCUAAUACCGCAUACGACCUGAGGGUGAAAGGGGGGGAUCGCAAGACCUCUCGCUAUUGGAGCGGCCGAUAUCAGAUUAGCUAGUUGGUGGGGUAAAGGCCUACCAAGGCAACGAUCUGUAGUUGGUCUGAGAGGACGAGCAGCCACACUGGGACUGAGACACGGCCCAGACUCCUACGGGAGGCAGCAGUGGGGAAUUUUGGACAAUGGGCGCAAGCCUGAUCCAGCAAUGCCGCGUGCAGGAAGAAGGCCUUCGGGUUGUAAACUGCUUUUGUCAGGGAAGAAAUCCUCUAGGUUAAUACCCUUGGGGGGAUGACGGUACCUGAAGAAUAAGCACCGGCUAACUACGUGCCAGCCGCCGCAGUAAUAC